rnacentral:rRNA from 1 species
CACGUAGGGCGCGAGCGUUGUCCGGAAUUAUUGGGCGUAAAGAGCUCGUAGGCGGCCUGUUGCGUCCGCUGUGAAAGCCCGGGGCUUAACCCCGGGUCGCAGUGGAUACGGGCAGGCUAGAGGUAGGUAGGGGAGAAUGGAAUUCCCGGUGUAGCGGUGAAAUGCGCAGAUAUCGGGAGGAACACCGGUGGCGAAGGCGGUUCUCUGGGCCUUACCUGACGCUGAGGAGCGAAAGCGUGGGGGAGCGAACAGGG